UWGAGUUUKGAUUCMUGGCUCAGGACGAACGCUGGCGGCAUUGCCUAAUACAUGCAAGUCGAACGAGCUUUCCUGAUGAUUGAUGCUUGCAUCAUGAAUCAGAUCUAAGCGAGUGGCGGACGGGUGAGUAACACGUGGGUAACCUGCCCAGAAGUAGGGGAUAACAUUUGGAAACAAGUGCUAAUACCGUAUAACAACAUUAAACACAUGUUUUUUGUUUGAAAGAUGGCUCUGCUAUCUCUUCUGGAUGGACCCGCGGCGUAUUAGCUAGUUGGUGAGGUAAUAGCUCACCAAGGCAAUGAUACGUAGCCGACCUGAGAGGGUAAUCGGCCACAUUGGGACUGAGAMACGGCCCAAACUCCUACGGGAGGCAGCAGUAGGGAAUCUUCCACAAUGGGCGAAAGCCUGAUGGAGCAAUGCCGCGUGAGUGAAGAAGGUUUUCGGAUCGUAAAACUCUGUUAUUGAAGAAGAACAUGCGUGAGAGUAACUGUUCACGUACUGACGGUAUUCAAUCAGAAAGCCACGGCUAACUACGUGCCAGCAGCCGCGGUAAUACGUAGGUGGCAAGCGUUGUCCGGAUUUAUUGGGCGUAAAGAGAAUGUAGGCGGUUUAUUAAGUUUGAAGUGAAAGCCCUCGGCUCAACCGAGGAAGUGCUUCGAAAACUGGUAAACUUGAGUGCAGAAGAGGAAAGUGGAACUCCAUGUGUAGCGGUGGAAUGCGUAGAUAUAUGGAAGAACACCAGUGGCGAAGGCGGCUUCGGUCUGUAACKACRCKAGAUCSAAAGCCYKG
rnacentral:rRNA from 1 species